CAGUAGCCACGGUAAUACGUAGGGUGCAAGCGUUGUCCGGAAUUAUUGGGCGUAAAGAGCUCGUAGGCGGUCUGUCGCGUCUGGUGUGAAAUCCCGAGGCUCAACCUCGGGCUUGCAUCGGGUACGGGCAGACUAGAGUGCGGUAGGGGAGACUGGAAUUCCUGGUGUAGCGGUGGAAUGCGCAGAUAUCAGGAGGAACACCGAUGGCGAAGGCAGGUCUCUGGGCCGCAACUGACGCUGAGGAGCGAAAGCAUGGGGAGCGAACAGGAUUAGAUACCCGUGUAGUCCCUGUCUCUUAUAU
rnacentral:rRNA from 1 species